GACGAACGCUGGCGGCGUGCUUAACACAUGCAAGUCGAACGGAAAGGCCCUGCUUUUGUGGGGUGCUCGAGUGGCGAACGGGUGAGUAACACGUGAGUAACCUGCCCUUGACUUUGGGAUAACUUCAGGAAACUGGGGCUAAUACCGGAUAGGAGCUCCUGCUGCAUGGUGGGGGUUGGAAAGUUUCGGCGGUUGGGGAUGGACUCGCGGCUUAUCAGCUUGUUGGUGGGGUAGUGGCUUACCAAGGCUUUGACGGGUAGCCGGCCUGAGAGGGUGACCGGCCACAUUGGGACUGGGGUACGGCCCAGACUCCUACGGGAGGCAGCAGUGGGGAAUAUGGCACAAUGGGCGGAAGCCUGAUGCAGCAACGCCGCGUGCGGGAUGACGGCCUUCGGGUUGUAAACCGCUUUCGCCUGUGACGAAGCGUGAGUGACGGUAAUGGGUAAAGAAGCACCGGCUAACUACGUG
rnacentral:rRNA from 1 species